GCUUCUUUCUUUGCGAACAAUUCUUGGUUGCUUUAAGCUUGACUUAAGAGUAAGAACAAUUAAAUAGAAAUGUUGGUAAACCAAUUUGAUUAAAAACACACUUAAAUUUCAAAAAGUACUCAUGCAAUUAUAAAAAUACUAAAGAAAAAUUAAAGUGCUAAGAUAAAGUCAUGGUGAACUAGAGCCACCCAAAAGUACAUUACAAAAUUCCCAAAAACAAAAAAACAGAAUUAGUAAAAAG
rnacentral:lncRNA from 1 species